rnacentral:misc_RNA from 1 species
AGCACAGCCCCACAACCCAACUGCCUCAAAUGCUCCAGAAUCUUCAAAUUGUUAUUGGCCUUAAUUGCGUACCCAAUAAUCGAUUUCAAUCCCUCUAAAGCAUCCCUAUAAGCCUCAAAAUUCCGAGUAAUUUGUGGCUUACUGUAUAAAUAAAAGGGCCUUUUCUCAACAUUCUCCAUGAUAUCCUGGACCUUGAGGUUCUCACAAUAGAGGAACCCAUCAGAGGAUUUGGUGAAACAAUGCUUAAACGGAGUAGUUUCUUGGGUCAGGGUAUUCGCAGGGUUUUGGGACAAAACUGCUUUGAGAGGCUUUGGGCA